CGUGUGUCCCAGCAGGAGAGGAGGGACUGUAGUGAUAGGAACACAACUUGGACGCGCCACUGGGAACAACAUCUGUUCAGCCCAUUUUAUGACCAAACAGUGGAAAUGAUCUUCACUGGCAGGGACACUGAUCAGGGAGAACAUACUGAAUGAUUCAAGAGCUGGACAGGAGGACCUGAAUAGUGCAAGCAUCUCCCUGCAUCAGACAUGAGUCUACAGAGAGAGAGAGAGAGAGACAACACAUGAUUGGAUCACACCAUGCUACGAAAGUCCUCCAGCCAAUCACAAACCUGCAAUUCAGUCCAUACAUGGCAUGAGUAGGGGUGGACUGUGCGGGGGUGGAGGUGGAUGUGGAGGCCUAAAUGCCGGGCGUCGACCCACUGACGGAAUUAUUUCCAGCCCUUUCUACUUGCCCAUGUUCUUUCUUUCUCUCUCUCUCUCUCUCUCUCUCCUUUCCAAAGAGUGUCACCCUCUGUUGAUCAUACUGUAGGAGAUAAAUGUUUCUGACCUGUGUUGCCAAAGUUGGAGAAAGAAAUUAUUAUUUAUUCCAUCUUUUUCCAAUUUAAAUAAGAGAAGAAAAUGUCAGUAAGUGAACUGAAUCCCGUCUAUGCAUGAGGCUCUUUGACAGUUACAAACUGCUGUACGAUAAGUGCAAGAAAAUAAAAGGAUUUUCCCAAAUGAAAUAUCAGAAAUCACAUUCCCAGCAGCUGUUGGAUACUAGUUUUUACUGCUAAGAUUAAUGUAGAAAAUGUAUGCCAGAGC